GAUGAACGCUGGCGGCGUGCCUAAUACAUGCAAGUCGAACGCAUUGUGGUUGAAAUGAUAUGAAGAACUUGUUCAGAUUUGAUUUUCAACAUUGCAAUGAGUGGCGAACGGGUGGGUAACACGUGGGAAACCUACCUCUUAGCAGGGGAUAACAUUUGGAAACAAAUGCUAAUACCGUAUAAUAAUUAAAACCGCAUGGUUUUAGUUUAAAAGAUGGUCUUGCUAUCACUAAGAGAUGGUCCCGCGGUGUAUUAGUUAGUUGGUGAGGUAAUGGCUCACCAAGACAAUGAUACAUAGCCGAGUUGAGAGACUGACCGGCCACAAUGGGACUGAGACACGGCCCAUACUCCUACGGGAGGCAGCAGUAGGGAAUCUUCCACAAUGGACGAAAGUCUGAUGGAGCAACGCCGCGUGUGUGAUGAAGGGUUUCGGCUCGUAAAACACUGUUGUAAGAGAAGAAUGACAUUGAGAGUAACUGUUCAAUGUGUGACGGUAUCUUACCAGAAAGGAACGGCUAAAUACGUGCCAGCAGCCGCGGUAAUACGUAUGUUCCAAGCGUUAUCCGGAUUUAUUGGGCGUAAAGCGAGCGCAGACGGUUAUUUAAGUCUGAAGUGAAAGCCCUCGGCUCAACCGAGGAAUUGCUUUGGAAACUGGAUAACUUGAGUGCAGUAGAGGAAAGUGGAACUCCAUGUGUAGCGGUGAAAUGCGUAGAUAUAUGGAA
rnacentral:rRNA from 1 species